CAGCAGCCGCGGUAAUACGUAGGUGGCAAGCGUUGUCCGGAAUUAUUGGGCGUAAAGGGCUCGCAGGCGGUUCCUUAAGUCUGAUGUGAAAGCCCCCAGCUCAACCGGGGAGGGUCAUUGGAAACUGGGAAACUUGAGUGCAGAAGAGGAGAGUGGAAUUCCACGUGUAGCGGUGAAAUGCGUAGAGAUGUGGAGGAACACCAGUGGCGAAGGCGACUCUCUGGUCUGUAACUGACGCUGAGGAGCGAAAGCGUGGGGAGCGAACAGGAUUAGAUACCCCCGUAGUCCCUGUCUCUUAUAA
rnacentral:rRNA from 1 species